rnacentral:lncRNA from 1 species
UACCAUAAUGCUAUAAAAUCGUCAGUCUGAGCUAGGGUUUUAUUAAGCCACUGCCGCUUGCAGUCCCUUUUCAUUUUCUCAUUCCUGAUCCGACGUGAGGUAUUAUUGUUCAGUUUCAUCUGUAUCCAUGUGAAAUUCAUUUUUAUAAGCAUGUGAAUAACUACGCAUUCCGAUGCUCUUUAAUUAGGAAAUUCUUAUUAUUUAUUUUCUCUAGUUUGCAUCAUGAUUCGGUUAGAUGUACUGGAUUUGCAAGUUCUGGAUAAUGGAUGCCUUCCUCUAUAAUGAUUCGAACUUUUGCUGUUAGUAAUUGCUUAGAAAAUCCGUUUCCUUUUCAUUUUCUCUAUAAGACUUGUUUUUUUAGUAUUGUUAACGACUCGAAAGGUGAUUUGCAUAUGAAUUUAUAAACUGAGUUGAUGGUUCUAAUCGAUUUGAGCUGACAAGAUUCAAUAUUUGUUCUUGUAGGCUUAUUUGUUUUGGGGAUAAAAUCGUGUUUCUUUAAAACCUUUUUUCCUAUCAAAUCCUUUGUUUAAGCUUAGUUAAUGCUAGGCUUAUGGUCAGCGUUAAGCAGUGCACUUCACUUUCAUGUACCUCUAUGUUUUAAGGAAAACAUAAACGUUACUACUAUUAUUAAGAUUACUUUUAAUUUGACUGUGCGCUUGCUGUUUAUUGACAUGUUGAUACCUUGCAAUGAUGGAAAUGGCUAACCCCAAAAGAAACGGUGAGUAAUCAAGGCUGGAGUCUCAAAGGGUUCUUUUGCCAAAAUCCUGUCAUGGGUAUUUGGAAAGAAAUACUAAAUGAGCCCGAGAAUUGGCAUCAUUCAUGCCAUAGGCCUCUGGUUUGGGGAGCAUUUCCUGUCAUCUGCCGGAAUGGUGGUACCAUCAUGUGUCUGAACACAGAUCAUAUGUUUUUUCAAAAGGAAAAUGGUUUUGCUUUCUGUUCAAAUUUCGUUUGUAAAUUCAUCCAUGUUUUUGCUGUGCAAAAUAAUUGACAAGGUUUCUUAAAUAAUUGUUUCUAUGCCGUCUCAUUCACAUCUAAUGCGACUAAGAUUUUGAACAACAUCUUUUAUUAUGCUUUUUGUUUUACAAAAUAAAUGAGAAGGUUUUAUAUAUAAUUAUUUUCAUGCCUUCUGAUUUAAAUCUACUGCAAUUGAUUUUGAACAACAUUUUGUAUUAUUUCAAUUUUGUAUAAUGCUUUUUGUUUUACAAGAUAAAUGAGACAAUUUCAUAUAUAAUUGUCUCUCUGCCUUCUGAUUUACAUCCUCUGCAACAAAGAUUCUGAACAACAUUUUGUAUUAUUUACAUUUUAUAUUAUGCUUUUUGUUUUACAGAAUAGAUGAGAGCUUUUUGCAGAUAAUUGGUUCUAUGCCUUCUGAUUCACGGCUAUUGUGACUAAGAUUAUGAACAACAUUUUGUAUGAUUUACAUUUUGUAUUACACUUUUCAUUUUACAAAAUGAAUGAGAAGAUUUAGUACAUAAUUGUUUCUAUGCCUUCUGAUUUACAUCUACUGCAACUAAGAUUUUGAACACCAUUUUGUAUGAUUUACGUUUUGUAUUAUGCUUUUUACAAAAUAAAUGAGAAGGUUUUAUAUAUAACUGUUUUCAUGCCUUCUGAUUUAAAUCUAAUGCAACUAAGAUUUUGAACAACGUUCUGUAUGAUUUACAUUUUGUAUAAUGCUUUUUGUUUUACAAGAUAAAUGAGACGUUUCUAUGCCUUGCGAUUUACAUAAAAUAUGACUAAGAUUUUUGACAACAUUUUGUAUGAUUUACAUUUUGUAUUAUAUACUUUUUGUUUUACAAAUAAAUGAGAAGGUUCCAUAUAUAAUUGUUUCUAUGCCUUCUGGUUUACAUCUACUGCGACUAAGAUUUUGAACAACAUUUUGUAUGAUUUACAUUUUGUAUUAUGCUUUUUGUUUUUCAAAAUAGAUGAGAACGUUUUGUAUAUAAUUGUUUCUAUGCCCUCUGAUUUUCAUCUACUGCGGCUAAGGUUUUGAACAACAUUUUAUAUGAUUUACAUUUUGUAUUAUGUUUUUUGCUUUGUCAGCUAUAUUGCUUUGUGGACUGGGAAGUCUUGAAGNNNN